UACGUAGGCAGCGAGCGUUGUUCGGAAUUACUGGGCGUAAAGAGUGUGUAGGCGGUGUUCCAAGUUCGGUGUGAAAUCUCCCGGCUUAACUGGGAGGGUGCGGCGGAAACUGGAAUGCUAGAGGGUGGGAGAGGUAAGCGGAAUUCCUGGUGUAGCGGUGAAAUGCGCAGAUAUCAGGAAGAACACCCGUGGCUAAGGCGGCUCUCUAGUACGGUACUGACGCUGAGACGCGAAAGCGUGGGGAGCGAACAGG
rnacentral:rRNA from 1 species